rnacentral:misc_RNA from 1 species
UUCUGUUGAAAACAAUUUUUAGCUUUAAUUGAUUGAGAUCAAAAGUGAUAGAGGCCAAACAAUUUCAUUGCAAUGUGAAAAUUAAAUGGAUGUUAAAGCUUCCUAAUGAAAGAAAAAUUUAUGUGAAUGUAUUGAAAUGUGAUGGCCACCUUAUUAGAGAUCUUUUAGUUCUGAUUAUGAUUGGUCAAUGGCUUCAGGAUGAGCUGCG